AUACGGAGGAUGCGAGCGUUAUCCGGAUUUAUUGGGUUUAAAGGGUGCGUAGGCGGUUUUUUAAGUCAGCGGUGAAACGCAAGGGCUUAACCCUUGACCUGCCGUUGAAACUGGCGGACUUGAAUUCGGAUGCUGUGGGAGGAAUGUGUGGGGUAGCGGUGAAAUGCAUAGAUAUCACACAGAACACCGAUUGCGAAGGCAUCUCACAAAUCCGUGAUUGACGCUGAGGCACGAAAGUGUGGGGAUCAAACAGGAUUAGAUACCCUGGUAGUCCACACUGUAAACGAUGAUGACUCGCUGUCGGCGAUAUACAGUCGGUGGCCAAGCGAAAGCGAUAAGUCAUCCACCUGGGGAGUACGACCGCAAGGUUGAAACUCAAAGGAAUUGACGGGG
rnacentral:rRNA from 1 species